AGAAUCAACGCUGGCGGCGUGCCUAACACAUGCAAGUCGCACGAGAAAGUGGAGCAAUCCACGAGUAAAGUGGCGCACGGGUGAGUAACACGUGAAUAAUCUACCUCCGAGUGGGGAAUAACUGAGAGAAAUCUUAGCUAAUACCGCAUAAUACCCACGGGUCAAAGCAGCAAUGCGCUUGGAGAGGAGUUCGCGGCCGAUUAGCUAGUUGGCGGGGUAAUGGCCCACCAAGGCGAUGAUCGGUAUCCGGCCUGAGAGGGCGCACGGACACACUGGAACUGAAACACGGUCCAGACUCCUACGGGAGGCAGCAGUGGGGAAUUUUGCGCAAUGGGGGAAACCCUGACGCAGCAACGUCGCGUGGAGGAUGAAAUCCCUUGGGAUGUAAACUCCUUUCGAUAGGGAAGAUAAUGACGGUACCUAUAGAAGAAGCCCGGCUAACUUCGUGCCAGCAGCCGC
rnacentral:rRNA from 1 species